UUCGGCACAGCUCGGGUCGAUACAAGCUACGCCUAGUAUCCAUCGUUUACUGCUAAGACUACAGGGGUAUCUAAUCCCUUUCGCUACCCUAGCUUUCGUCCCUCAGCGUCAGUACAAGUCCAGUAGAGCGCCUUCGCCACUGGUGUUCUUCCCAAUCUCUACGCAUUUCACCGCUACACUGGGAAUUCCCUCUACCCCUACUGUACUCUAGCUCUUCAGUUUCCACCGCCUUCCCGAAGUUGAGCUUCGGUUUUUGACAGCAGACUUGAUUAGCCGCCUACGGACUCUUUACGCCCAAUGAUUCCGGAUAACGCUUGCAUCCUCCGUAUUACCGCGGCUGCUGGCACGGAGUUAGCCGAUGCUUAUAUUAGGUACCGUCAUUUUUUUCUUCCCUAAGUUUUGAGGUUUACAACCCAAGAGCCUUCCUCCCUCACGCGGUAUUGCUCCGUCAGGCUUUCGCCCAUUGCGGAAAAUUCCCCACUGCUGCCUCCCGUAGGAGUCUGGGCCGUGUCUCAGUCCCAGUGUGGCUGCUCAUCCUCUCAGACCAGCUACUGAUCGUUGCCAUGGUACGCUCUUACCCCACCAUCUAGCUAAUCAGACGCAAGCUCCUCUUUUGGCAAUAAAUCUUUUACUUCUCAGCUCAUCCGGUAUUAGCAGUAGUUUCCCACUGUUAUCCCCGACCAAAAGGCAGAUUCUUACGUGUUACUCACCCGUCCGCCGCUCUCUCCGAAGAGUUCGUUCGACUUGCAUGUGUUAGGCAUACCGCCAGCGUUCAUCCUGAGCCAGGAUCAAACUCUCAUCUUGC
rnacentral:rRNA from 1 species